CUUCUUUCUGGAUUAUGUGAAUUGAAGAUUAAUAUCUGUUUAUAAUUAACACUUUACGUUAAUAAAUUAUCGAUUGAGCGAAAGAUGUUUAUCAGAAAUGCAGACAUAUUCUUUGUUCUUAUAAAUAAUGUAGCAGAAACAAUCAUAUUUACCUGAUGAUUGUUUAGUAAAAAACAAUUUGUUGCUCGUCGUCGUUCCAGCUGCUGCAUAUACCAUCUCGUAUUGGUAGUUUCUGUAUUCCAGUGGUUACAUCUCGAGUCGAAAGACACCAUCUAAUCAGAAUCCUUACUUCACUACUCAAUAUUCUACUUGAAUACAGAGUGUAUUGCAUCGGCAAUAAGUUACGAAAGAGCAAUUUAAAACUUGAAACGAAGACAAAACUUCUUUUUAAUUUAGUCCAGAGAUUCUGUUCGAAGAAGUAUUGCAAUAUAUACAUUGAUUACAGUACUUAAAUUCUAAAAUGUGGCUUAUAAAUAUGAUGAAAAUUUAGGAUAAUGUCGUUAGAUGAUUCAUUGAAGAAGUGCGA